rnacentral:rRNA from 1 species
AAGCUGGUCUGAGAGGAUGGUCAGCCACACUGGGACUGAGAUACGGCCCAGACUCCUACGGGAGGCAGCAGUCGAGAGGCUUCGGCAAUGGGGGAAACCCUGACCGAGCGACGCCGCGUGCGCGAUGAAGGCCUUCGGGUUGUAAAGCGCUGUCGUGCGGGAAGAAAGGUUCAUCUGCAAACAGUGGAUGGAUUUUGACGGUACCGCAAAAGGAAGCUCCGGCUAACUCCGUGCCAGCAGCCGCGGUAAUACGGGGGGAGCAAACGUUGUUCGGAUUUACUGGGCGUAAGGGCGCGCAGGCGGCCUCGUCAGUGGGAUGUGAAAGGUCCUGGCUUAACCAGGGAAGUGCGUCCCAUACUGCGGGGCUUGAGUGCAGGAGAGGAUGGGGGAAUUCCCGGUGUAGCGGUGAAAUGCAUUGAUAUCGGGAGGAACACCAGUGGCGAAGGCGCCCAUCUGGACUGCUACUGACGCUGAGGCGCGAAAGCUGGGGGAGCAAACAGGAUUAGAUACCCUGGUAGUCCCAGCCGUAAACGGUGAGCACUAGGUGUGGGAGGCAUCGACCCCUUCCGUGCCGCAGCUAACGCAUUAAGUGCUCCGCCUGGGGAGUACGACCGCAAGGUUGAAACUCAAAGGAAUUGACGGGGGCCCGCACAAGCGGUGGAGCAUGUGGUUUAAUUCGAUGCAACGCGAAGAACCUUACCCAGGCUUGACAUGCACUGGACCGGUGUGGAAACACACCUUCUCCGUAAGGGGCCGGUGCACAGGUGCUGCAUGGCUGUCGUCAGCUCGUGUCGUGAGAUGUUGGGUUAAGUCCCGCAACGAGCGCAACCCUUGUCAUUAGUUGCUAACAAGUAAAGUUGAGCACUCUAGUGAGACUGCCGUCGAUAGGACGGAGGAAGGUGGGGAUGACGUCAAGUCCUCAUGGUCCUUACGCCUGGGGCUACACACGUGCUACAAUGGCCGGUACAAAGGGUUGCAAGACCGCGAGGUGGAGCUAAUCCCAGAAAACCGGUCUCAGUUCGGAUUGCAGUCUGCAACUCGACUGCAUGAAGUCGGAAUCGCUAGUAAUCGCUGAUCAGCAGGCAGCGGUGAAUAUGUUCCCGGGCCUUGUACACACCGCCCGUCAAGCCACGAAAGCUGGUAGUACCCGACGUCGCUGUCCCAACCGUAAGGAGGGAGGCGCCUAAGGUAAGAUUGGUGAUUGGGGCUAAGUCGUAACAAGGUA